rnacentral:rRNA from 1 species
GACUGUGCAAGGUAGCAUAAUCAUUAGUUUUUUGAUUGAAGACUUGAAUGAAUGGUUAAAUGAAAUAUUUAUUGUUUCUUUAUAUUUUUUAUUUAAUUUUAUAAUUUAGUUAAAAAGCUAAAAUUUUUAUUAAAGACGAGAAGACCCUAUAAAGCUUUAUAUUUCUUUUAAAAUUUUUAAUAGAAUAAUUUUAAAAGUUUUUUUAAAAAAAUAUUUUAUUGGGGUGAUAAAAAAAUUUAAUAAACUUUUUUUCUGGUAUCAUUUAUUUAUGUAUUAAUUUAUUUUUGAAAAUAAUUUUUUUUGAUCCUUUAUUUUUGAUUAGAAGUUUAAGUUACUUUAGGGAUAACAGCGUAAUUUUUUUGGAGAGUUCAAAUUUAUAAAAAAGAUUGCGACCUCGAUGUUGGACUAAGAGUAAAUUUUAGGUGUAGAAGUUUAAAAUUUAAAGUCUGUUCGACUUUUUAUUCUUACGUGAUCUGAGUUCAAACCGGUGUAAGCCAGG